AUUGAACGCUGGCGGCAGGCCUAACACAUGCAAGUCGAGCGGAUGAAUGGAGCUUGCUCCUGGAUUCAUCGGCGGACGGGUGAGUCAUGCCUAUGAAUCUGCCUUGUCGUGGGGGAUAACGUCCUGAUACGGGCUCUAAUACCGCAUCCGUCCUGAGGUCGAAAGUGGGUGAUCUUCGGACCUCACGCUAUCAUGUGAGCCUAGGUCGGAUUAGCUAGUUGGUGGGGUAACGGCCUACCAAGGCGACGAUCCGUAACUGGUCUGAGAGGAUGAUCAGUCACAUGGGAAGUGAGAAAAGGUAGAGACACCGACGGGAGGAAGCAGUGGGGAAUAUUGGACGAUGGGGGAAAGCCGGAUACAGGAAUGCCGCGUGUGUGAAGAAGGUGUAAGGAUUGGAAAGCAAUGUAAGUUGGGAGGAAGGGAAGUAAGUUAACACCGGGCUGUUUUGACGGUACCAACAGAAUAAGCACCGGCUAACUUCGUG
rnacentral:rRNA from 1 species